GUUUGGCUCCAGCUAUCGGCAGACUAAUUGGAUUCGGUCAAACAAUCCCCAGUGGAACGCUUAUUAUGAUUUAGGCAAGGUGGACACACACUCUGGUUUGAGGGUUGAAGUUUGGGACAAGGACGUAACGUAUGAUGACCUUCUGGGAUCAUGUGUCAACUAUCUGCAGCAGGGGACACACACAUUUACCUGCCCAGCUAAAAGAGGCGGUUUUGAGGUCCGGUACACUUUGACAUGUGACCCUCAUCUGACUGGAGACCGGUGUGAUCGUUACAAACCAUCUGCAAAAUAACCAAUGUAUUUUGAGUUUGCAUGUUUUUCUUUAAUCAUGUGUGAUUGAUCUGUUGAUCUAAUCAAUGUAAAAAUCGUGUGACUGAUCAACUUAUGGAUUUAUUUUACUACAAUUAAGACAUAAUUGUAUUCAAUUUGAGCCUUUAUAUAAGCUAAAGUUCAUUUAUUUAUUUUUAAUCAUAUAAAUCAGGGCUGUAUUCAUAUAUGAAUAUUUUUAAAUGAUAGAAAAAUCAUACUUUUUGGUUUUCAGUAGUUUCUAAUGAUAAAUAAUGACACACACACUGAAUCAGCUGCUGUGUAUUUCUACUAAUUCGUGGAAAAAUGAUCAAAUCCUUCUUGUGUUUUAGGCAAUUAAAUCCAGUUUCACAGACAGUGUUACAUCUAUGUCAGAUUUUGAGAGCAGGACUUAAUGGUGUACAUUACCUUUCUACUCUUAAGGCUUAAAGGGAACAUGAAAUGCUACAAAUAUAAAGGCUAGAUUGGACUUUACUAAAAAAAAAAAAAAAAAAGACAGAUGAAACCAAGAUCAACCUUCUCCAGAAUGAUGGCAAGAAAAAAGUAUGGAGAAGCCGUGGAACAGCUCAUGAUCCAAAGCACUCCAUAUCAUCCGUAAAAAAAAGGCAGAGGCAGUGUGAUGGCUUGGACGU